AAGUCGAGCGGAUGAGUGGAGCUUGCUCCAUGAUUCAGCGGCGGACGGGUGAGUAAUGCCUAGGAAUCUGCCUGGUAGUGGGGGACAACGUUUCGAAAGGAACGCUAAUACCGCAUACGUCCUACGGGAGAAAGCAGGGGACCUUCGGGCCUUGCGCUAUCAGAUGAGCCUAGGUCGGAUUAGCUAGUAGGUGAGGUAAUGGCUCACCUAGGCGACGAUCCGUAACUGGUCUGAGAGGAUGAUCAGUCACACUGGAACUGAGACACGGUCCAGACUCCUACGGGAGGCAGCAGUGGGGAAUAUUGGACAAUGGGCGAAAGCCUGAUCCAGCCAUGCCGCGUGUGUGAAGAAGGUCUUCGGAUUGUAAAGCACUUUAAGUUGGGAGGAAGGGCAGUAAGUUAAUACCUUGCUGUUUUGACGUUACCAACAGAAUAAGCACCG
rnacentral:rRNA from 1 species